CAAAUAUGCAGGGACCAUAUAAAGGGUUCUCUGCAUUCCUGUCUGAAUAGUCUCCAACACAAAUUUAUGUCUGGUGUUAUGCACAUGUUUUAAAUCUGGUACUGGCAGACACAACAGGCAGUGUCAUAGAGAGUGCAUCUCUCUUCUCACUACUAAAUGAUGUAGCAGUUUUCCUCAGGAAGUCUUAUAAACGUAUGCAGACUUGGGAAGAGAUAAGUGAGGACAAACGUCACAGGAGACUGAGCCCAAUAGGGGAAACCAGAUGGUGGGCUAAGGAUCAGGCUUUCACUAAGGUCUUUGGUUCGUUUGGUAAUCCCCAGGAUGCAUUGUUUGUUGACCUGCUGCUGGACCUAGCCUCUGUUGAGGAAGUUGGAAGUAUGAAGUCAACCGUGAGGGUCAAAGCAAAGGGAUUAAUUGAAAAUCUUCUGAAAUAUGAGAUUAUCCUCAUUGCUCAAACUUUCCUUCGCAUUUUCCAACAUACAUCCCCCCUCUCAAAGUACCUACAGACACACGGAAUGGAUAUUUUGUCAGCUCAGCGUCUGGUUGAGGGGACAAAGAAUAACCUCAAAAAAUAUGUCAAGGACUUUGAGGGAGUGAAAGUGGCAGCUGAUAAGUUUGUGAGAUGGGCCAAUGAAAAGCUAGAAGAGAUGGACAACUAUGAACUACUUGUGCAGACUGCACUUCCAGAGAAGUGUGUCCGAAAAAAGAAAAGAAUGCCCGGAGAGCUUUUAGAUGAUGAACCAGUAGCCUCAUCUGAUGCUGCCUUUGAGGUGAAUGUCCAUAAUGUUAUUCUGGACACUGUGGCAGGUAGCAUAGAUAGGAGGUUUUCAGCAAAUGCAAAACUUGCCUCAGAUUUUGCUUGUCUUGACCCUAAAAACUUUCCUGAAAUAAAGAUAAAUGGGCUCCCUAACUCAUCACUCCAGGAAAUUAGCAAAUGUCUGCUUAGGUUUGAUGAAAGAGCUACCGUUAGCACAUUACAAACUGAGCUUUGUAGCCUGGCAUACCAGUGGGACAGACUGAAACACUCCUCUCUUGAAGGUUAUACUUUCAGGACAUGUAGUGAGGUGACACAGGAAGGUCAGGAGGAUAGUGGAGGACUGCCAUGUAUGGAAGAACCAGAGAUGGAACUUGAAAGCAGGACCUGUUCCUCCUGCAAAAACUGUACCAUUUGUGUCCAUUUAAUACUCUCACAGAAUAACCUCCUCACAGAUGCUUAUCGUGAUUGGGUUAGGAUAUAAGUUUCUGUUGACUUUG
ensembl:lncRNA